UGCUGACUGGCAAUCAUGUGAUGUUGUGUUCCUUAUAUUAUUUUGUCCGUUUAUUCAGUUGCAAACAAACAAGAAAGCAUUAAUGAAUAAUGACAAGGCCAUAGCGUUUAAUAUUUCAAGAACUGUGACAAUCCGAGUGAGUUUAGCAGCGCACUUUUAAAAUCAGAAGGGAGUUACGGGAGAUUCAGAGGUAGAACAAACAGUCUGUUGAAAACGAAAGCGAGAAAACAGCAUCGCGUAGGCUUGUCUAUUCGUUGUAGUAAAAUGACACAAUCAUUCAUCAAUAUGAAAAUACAUUAUUCUUAAAGUUAUGCUACAACGCGGAACAUGUAAAGUAUGUUAUUUCUACGUAAACACGUCAUAUUUAUAUUACCGCAGUCUGGAAGUAGAUUCCUCAGGGUGUCCAAGAUGGCGUCGCUGAGGGCGUGUUCUCUCGCUUGUCAAAGCAACAUUGAGGGUUAGGUGGUUUAACAGUCUUUCAUUGGCUAUCACUGUUGAAAGAAACUAACUACAACUUGUUUUAGCGGCAUAGGAUACGUUUAGAUUUCGUUUUUGUCAAGUUGAAUUGGAAGAACAGGACAGAAAGACAAUAAUAAACGGAAUAUCCAAGCCUCACAGAAGACGGCAGACAUGCUAGCUGGCCACGACGAGAACCAAAGCAGCAUGGAUACACAAGAUGCUGCGAGCUCAAGCAAGAGAAAGAACAAAACAGACCAGGAUGAAAUUCCUGCGACCUUUUUAUCUCAGACACAUUUCCAUGUCUGAACUUUUCUCUGCAAUCCAGUCCCUGUCUACUAAACAAGACGCCACGUUCUCCAGUGAGUCCAUCAGAGCGGGGCCACAGAAGAAACAUUAAAGAAGAUGGAUCAUUUGUCAGAAACUGUCAGUCAGCUUCACAAAAUUGUGAGCGAAAACGAGGAAAAUAUAACGUUCCUAGAGAAUGAGUUUUAGAAACUGCAACCCCAAAAUAAUGAGCUGUGAGAAUAUAGCUGAACUUCAAAGGUACUCUCGCAGGUGGAAUCUGAAAAUCCAAGGUGUAAAAGAGGUAGAGGAAUAUUAGGGAAGCAGUCAUUAAUAUCCUGGGAAAGGUGACUCCGUGCAUCAAAGACAAGCUAAGAGACGUGAUCGACUUGGGAAACGAAGGUAUGAUGGACCCCUCGCAAUAUCAUUUUGCGCUUAACUAUGCGCCAUUACAGGGACAUAAUCUGGAAAAUGACCAAGGGGAACAUGUUUCUGGACGAGAAGAAGCUCCGCAUCAAAGAGGCUCUGAUACCGCAGGAUCAGGCUGCCAGGGAGAAAGUGUGGCCGCUUAUACAGAAGGCAAGGCACGACAAGAGGAAAAUAAGGCUGGGUUCAAGGGCCCACACGCAUUUAUCGAAAAACGAAUGAUUAUUGGGUAACUCUGUUGACAUUAACCGAACUGGAACUGUGAGUACAGUUAAUGUACUGCCAUGAGUAAAUGUGCCGCUUGAACUAAGUUAACCUAUGAACACUUGCCAAAAAAAAGAAAAGGAAAUGAACAUAUUUUUCCUGUUAACCAUCGCUACCUCAGUUGAGCGUAAUUUUCGUCGGAGUAAUCCCUCUCAAGGUUCACUGUUUUAUUGUUCACAUUACCACUUCUGUUAUCUAAUUUGUUCUUUUUGUAUUUCUUUUUUUAAAUGCAGGAGGUAGUUUUCAACUCACUCAGUAUCCUUAGUCUGAAUGCUAGGGGUUUGAGAGAUCUUACAAAAAGGAAAGCCUUAUUUUUAUAUUGUAAACGCAGGAAACUCAUUUCGGGUGAAAGUGAUUUGAAAUUUUGGAAAUCACAAUGGGGAGAUAUGGUCUAUUUCAGUCAUGGAUCAAAUCAUUCUGGUGUUUUGACACUGACACAUUCACAAGUUUAAAGGUGACAUUCUAGAAUCCACAUCUUCACAGGAUGGGAGAUGGGUCAUAGUAACUGUUACACUUGACAAUGCUAUUUUCAUCAUCUGUAAUGUAAUAUGGACAUAACUCACAUGCUCCUAAUAAGACCCUUUUUACCCAAUUUACCAGAAAAGUACAGGAUUUACGCAACAAAUACUCAGAGGCUUUUCUAAUUAUUUCAAGGGAUUUUAAUUAAACACCUGAUGCAUCUGUUGAUCGUUUUCCUCCUAGAACGAGUCAAAGCCUUCAAAAUAGCAAUAUCAUCACUACAUUAUGCAAGGAUCUCUGUUGAUGAUGCCUGGCAUUAUUUCAAUCCGGAUACAAAGGGUUAUACCUGGACCAACAAAACUAUGUCACGUAAAUCUAGAAUAGAUUAUUCCUAAUUUCUCCCAUUUUGUUAUAGAUGUAGAUCAUCAGUUGGCUCCCUUUUCUGAUCACUUGAUUUCCCUGAAUUUGCAAGCUACUAAAAAAAAAUCUAAAAAAGGUACUGGUGGAUAUUGGAGAUUAAACACACUUAAAGAUCCUACUCUCAUUGGAAACAUCAAAUUGUUUUGCAAGUAAAGUCUUGGGUCAUGGAAGUAUUUGCAAUUUUUCAAAUAUAAAGUCAGAGUUGUUGCCAUUAAACGUGCCAGAGCUGAUGCAGAGCUGAUGCACUUAAAGAACCUUAGAGAAAAGGAGUUGAUGAGCAAGCUUGACAGAUUACCUUUCUUUAGAAAACUCAAGUUGAAGAGUCUGUAUUUAAGUUUUUACAACUAGAAUUAGAACAGCUUUACACGGACCUGGCAAAGGGUGCCUUUGUAAAGUCAAGAGCAAAAUGGAUUGAAGAGUGGGAAAGAAACACUAGUGACUUUUUUUUGCACUUGAAAAGAGAAACUACAAAAAAAAUCUAUAACUGCACUCUAAAUUAAUGUUUUAUGCAAAGAUCCCAUUACAAUAACAUUUGUAAAUGAUUUUUGUGAAACCUUUACAACUCACAAUUUCAGGAAGAUGGUUGGGAAAGCUACAUCUGCCACGUUCAGAAUUAAUGUCCCUGUAAUUGAGGAUGAUUUCCACUCAGUUUGCGAUUCACCUGUGUCAAUGAAAAAAGGGAAACCACCUGGCCCGGAUGACCUGUCAGUUGAAUUCUGUAGACAGUUUGAGUUACUAGAAGACCCUAUUUUUAACAUGUUUCAAGAUUGCAUUAAAAAUGGUGAAAUGAUCUCCACUAUGAAACAGGGCCUUAUUUCACUGAUUCCGAAGCCCGAUAAAGACCCUUCCCUCAUUGACAAUUGGAGAUCAAUUACUUUAUUAAAUACUGAUUACUAAUUGAUUGCUCUGGUUUAUUUUAAAAGAUUAAAAGGAAUAGAUACCAUUAUAAAUGAGACUCAAACAGGAUUUAUGAAGGGCCGUCACAUAAACUCUAACAUUCGUUUAGUCUUGGACCUUAUAGAUUAUUAAGAUGCAAUGGACUCAGAUGCAUUUGUCUUAUUUCUGGACUUCUGUAAAGCCUUUGACACAAUUGAAGAUGAAUCUCUUUAGGUCACUUAAACUUUUUGGAUUCUGUGAAAAUUAUGUCGAAGUCAUUCGCAUGUUUUACAAAGAUAUAAAAUAGUUCUGUGUUAAACCUUAAUAUGUCCAAAAGAUUCAGUAUCAACAGAAGUGUACGACAGGGAUGCCCAAUUUCGCCAUUUAUAGUCAUUUUGGUUGUUGAACUUCUAUCUCUAGAUAUUCUGAAUAAUGCAAAUCUGUACGGCUUAACCAUUUAACAAAGAAAUCCAAAUUUCCCAACUGGCUGAUGAUACUACUCUUUUUUUUAAGAGGCAAAGACCAGGUCGCCCAUGCCCUUAAUGCUAAAAUAGAAUUUUCUAUUGCAUCAGGAUUAAAACUGAAUGUUUCUAAAAUGUGAAAUCUUACCUUUAUUUGACUCUGAUAAAGAAAUAGAAAAUAUUUGUGUAAAGGACUGUGUUAAAUAUUUAGGAAUACAUCUGUCAAAACACCACGUAGUCAGACAUUUGAAUUUCUCCUAAAAUUAAGAAUAUAUUUAAUAAUUGGCUACAAAGAGAUCUUUCUAUACUUGGGAGAGUACUUCUGUCCAAGGCAGAGGGGCUGUCUCGUUUUGUGUACCCCUCAUUAUCUUUAUGUGUAAAUCCUUCUACUUGUAAAGAGAUCAAAAAUACCUUUCUUGACUUCAUCUGGAAAAAUAAGUCAAACUAAAAACCGUCAGUCCUCUAAUAAAAGAGCUGAAGGCAGUCUGGAAGUGUUGGAUUUUGACAUAAUGCUAUCAAGAUUAACUGGUUGAAGAGAUGUUUGAUCAGUACUGAUUCAAUAUGGUAUUUCAUUCCAAAUGUGUUUAAUAAGUUGGGAGGUCUUCAAUUUUUACUGAAACGUAAUUAUAUUCCUGAAAGAUCACCCGCUAAAUUGGCUAGGUUUCACCAACAAGCUUUAAUGGCCUGAAAUGUUUCCUGCACAAUUUUUCCCCACAAAGCUCUUUUGUGAAAUAAUUCAGACAUAACUGUAAGGAAUAAGUCAUUGUUCUACCCCAGCUGGCAUGAGAGGAAUAUUGACUUUGUUCUUGAUGUUUGACAACAGGGGUAAUAUUCUUACAUAUGAACAAUUUAUAACAUUGAAACAGUUUCCAAUACCUUUCAGAGUUUAUUUAUGUGAUCAAAGCCGUUACCAGUGGUCUAACUACACUAAUGAAAACUCAUCUUAGCUUUGGUAAUGCUCACACAGUUUAUCCAGAACUCAGAUUGGUGUGGGCUUACUUGAGAUCUUGUUGUAAUAAAUAUAUAAGACAAAUUCUCCAUUCACAAAACCAAGUUACACAGAGAGGAAUAUUUCUGGAACAUGUUUAUUCCUGACAUUGUGUGGGAAAAAAAACCAUGGUUAAGGCCUUACAAAUAGUGUAUACCAAACAAAUUUAAGGAAGUGCACUUUCAUUUUACAUAGAAUUACAUGGAUAUAUUUUGUGUUAUCCAAAUGUGGCUAUUGAUGGAUGAUAUCUGCGUUUUCUGUGAAAAAGGUGAGAAUCUGUCUCACUUGUUCUUUGAAUGUAAAUUUGUGUCAGAAUUUUGGGAAAACCUUGCAGAACACUACCAUUAUGAACACUACCCAUGUUUUUGACAUAAAGGAUAGAAUAAUGUUACUAUUGCAAUGAUAACAAGACCAUUGAAAUUGUUUUUUAAAAUGUAUUCUUGUUGCCAAAUACUAUACACAAAUUCCCAAAUUACACAUUUGAUUGAAUGUAACUUAUUAAAACAUUAACCCUAGUGAAUAACAAGAAUAACAUUUAUGAAUCAUUAUGAGAUUUGUUCAGUGAUUACAAUUGCACUAGAAUUGUUUAUAUUUUAUGUCAUUGAUUUGUUGUAUGUUUCAGUAUUUUUUUUGUUAUACCUUCUGUUUUGUAUGAUGUAGCAAUCAAUGUAAGUUGUUGAUCUGU